ACUAAGCGAGUACUCCGAGCAAAAGUGUCUAACGGGCAACGCGCCCCAUGGCACUGCGCCUGAGCCGCCCCAUGCGGCUCACAGGGCGGCAGGGGAAACCCUGCCGCCUUCCGUGUUGAAAAGGAGCACAGGCAACGUACCG
rnacentral:ncRNA from 2 species